GAAUGCUGACAUAAGUAACGAUAAAGCGGGUGAAAAGCCCGCUCGCCGGAAGACCAAGGGUUCCUGUCCAACGUUAAUCGGGGCAGGGUGAGUCGACCCCUAAGGCGAGGCCGAAAGGCGUAGUCGAUGGGAAACAGGUUAAUAUUCCUGUACUUGGUGUUACUGCGAAGGGGGGACGGAGAAGGCUAUGUUGGCCGGGCGACGGUUGUCCCGGUUUAAGCGUGUAGGCUGGUUUUCCAGGCAAAUCCGGAAAACCAAGGCUGAGGCGUGAUGACGAGGCACUACGGUGCUGAAGCGACAAAUGCCCUGCUUCCAGGAAAAGCCUCUAAGCAUCAGGUAACAUCAAAUCGUACCCCAAACCGACACAGGUGGUCAGGUAGAGAAUACCAAGGCGCUUGAGAGAACUCGGGUGAAGGAACUAGGCAAAAUGGUGCCGUAACUUCGGGAGAAGGCACGC
rnacentral:rRNA from 2 species